CUCGUAGGCGGCCUGCCGAGUCUCACGUGAAAGACCAGGGCUCAACCCUGGGAACGCGAGAGAAACUGGCAAGCUGGAAUCUUUGAGGGGGUACUGGAAUUCCUGGUGUAGGGGUGAAAUCUGUUGAUAUCAGGAAGAACACCGGAGGCGAAGGCGAGUACCUGGCAAAUGAUUGACGCUGAUGAGCGAAAGCGUAGGGAGCGAACAGGAUUAGAUACCCUGGUAGUCC
rnacentral:rRNA from 1 species